GGCGGAGCGUCAUUAGAGAUGCAAAGGUCAUCACAGGAAACGCUUGAGCACAUUUAGGCAGUGGGGAAAUGUCUGCUGCAAAAUGUAAACCGCUGAAGCGUCUCGUGAGGCAUCGCAGAGCUGUAAGGCGUGAAAAUCUGAACACGGCGUGAGCAAAAGCAUCAGGUUCAUGUUGGGUGUUGCACUCACCCACACUCUGUCCUGUCUGCAGCGAGUGCGACUGAUGGGUCGAACAGCAACAGGCUGCUUUCCUCUGGGACCAGUUUGGAUCUGUGAGCUGGGCAGCGACGCUGAGAUGGGACUCUCCCAGUUUGUUUUGUGGAACGAGGUGGGCGAAGUAUCAGAAUGAUCUCAGCUCAUAGAGAUUCUUCUGAGCAGCGUUCACAGAUGGCAUCUAUCCAACAAAGAGCGAUUUAAGCUGAACAUCGGCACGUUCUUCACUCCAGCACAGCAUCUGUGUGAGAGGGAACAGCCACAUCAGACUAGCUGGGCUGUACCUG
ensembl:lncRNA